rnacentral:rRNA from 1 species
UACGGUGGGAGCAAGCGUUGUUCGGAUUCAUUGGGCGUAAAGGGUGCGCAGGCGGCGCGGUAAGUCGGGUGUGAAAUCUCGGAGCUUAACUCCGAAACUGCAUUCGAUACUGCCGUGCUUGAGGACUGGAGAGGAGACUGGAAUUUACGGUGUAGCGGUGAAAUGCGUAGAUAUCGUAAGGAAGACCAGUGGCGAAGGCGGGUCUCUGGACAGUUCCUGACGCUGAGGCACGAAGGUCAGGGGAGCAAACGGG